rnacentral:lncRNA from 13 species
CAAGAUGGCCAUCCAGACUCAGCAGUCGAAGUUUGUGAACUUGCAGGUGGACGGGAAGUACUGGGACUCUGACUUCACAGCGGUCGUCACGCUGGGAACCCAGAUGUCCUUGUGGGUUCAGGAAUUCUCGUAACCUUCUACCUACCUCCAGAGCAUCACGCCUUGACUGGCUCUGAGCAGAGAGCUGGUCUACCACCCGCAGCCUGGGGAGGAGGGCACCGUCAUGUCUCUAGCUGGAAAAUACACAUUGAACAUUUGGUUGGCAACGGUAAUGUUGGGCCAGGAGGGCAUGCACAGGACAUACUACCACAAAGCCAGUGACCAGCUGCAGGUGCGUGUGGAGUUUGGAGGCCAGCACAAGGAUGCAGGACACCAGUGUCUCGUUCAGGUACCAGCUGGACCUGCCCAAGGCCAACCUCCUCUUCAAAGGCUCUGUGGACAGCAACUGGAUCGUGGGUGCCACCCUGGGGAAGAAGCUCCCGCCCCUGCUCCUGACACUGGCCCUCCAGGCCUUCCUGAAUCACUGCAAGAACAAGUUCCAGUGCAGGUUUGGCCUCACCAACCGCUAUUCCAGUCAAGAGGGGUGGGUAGCUGGAGCCUCUCCUGGCAGCACAGAGAACAAGAAUGAAGAAAACACUGCCUCACAUGUAGCAAAGCAAAGUGAUAUGAGUGCCAUAUGAAAAGAAGAAGAAGUUGGAGGAGGAGAAAGAGAAUAAGAAGAACACAGGUAAAUAUUUAUUGACUUGCUAAUGUCUGAGAGUGUCCUAGCAAAAGUGCAGAGAAUCCCCAAGUGCUUUCAACAAAAGGGAAAAUAGCACCUAUGUGCAGCCAUUUGUACAUAGAAUACUACUAGGUAUUCAGAAGAAGGGCUGAGACAAAAGUGUUAAGACACACAAUAAGAAGAAAUGUGUCUUUAUUAAAUGGUGUCGGCAAGACUGGAUAUCCAUAUGGAGAAGAACCAUAUUAGACGCUGAUUUUAU